rnacentral:rRNA from 1 species
CAAAUCCAGCUGCGACCUCAGAUCAGGUGGGUCUACCCGCUGAAU